ACGCUCUCAGGGUUCAUAAGGCUGAUGCUUGGGUUUGCAUGCUCGUAUGUGAGAUGUGCCACCCUCAAGCCUUUUUAUGAUGUUGGCACAUUAUCCAUCUGGUG
ensembl:snoRNA